AGCGAACGCUGGCGGCAGGCUUAACACAUGCAAGUCGAGCGGCCGUAGCAAUACGGCAGCGGCAGACGGGAGAGUAACACGUGGGAACGUACCCUUCAGUACGGAACAACCAAGGGAAACUUUGGCUAAUACCGUAUACGUCCGUGAGGAGCAAGGUUUAUGGCUGAAGGAUCGGCCCGCGUCCGAUUAGCGAGCUGGUGAGGUAACCGCUCACCAAGGCGACGAUCAGUAGCUGGUCUGAGAGGAUGCUCAGCCUCACUGUGACUGAGACACGGCCCAGACUCCUACGGGAGGCAGCAGUGGGGAAUAUUGGACAAUGGGCGCAAGCCUGAUCCAGCCAUGCCGCGUGGACGAUGAAGGCCCUAGGGUUGUAAAGUCCUUUUAACGGGGAAGAUAAUGACGGUACCCGUAGAAUAAGCCCCGGCUAACUUCGUGCCAGCCGCCGCAGUAA
rnacentral:rRNA from 1 species